CUAUACAUGCAGUCGAGCGACAGAUAAGGAGCUUGCUCCUUUGACGUUAGCGGCGGACGGGUGAGUAACACGUGGGUAACCUACCUAUAAGACUGGGAUAACUUCGGGAAACCGGAGCUAAUACCGGAUAACAUUUGGAACCGCAUGGUUCUAAAGUGAAAGAUGGUUUUGCUAUCACUUAUAGAUGGACCCGCGCCGUAUUAGCUAGUUGGUAAGGUAACGGCUUACCAAGGCGACGAUACGUAGCCGACCUGAGAGGGUGAUCGGCCACACUGGAACUGAGACACGGUCCAGACUCCUACGGGAGGCAGCAGUAGGGAAUCUUCCGCAAUGGGCGAAAGCCUGACGGAGCAACGCCGCGUGAGUGAUGAAGGGUUUCGGCUCGUAAAACUCUGUUAUUAGGGAAGAACAAAUGUGUAAGUAACUGUGCACGUCUUGACGGUACCUAAUCAGAAAGUCACGGCUAGCUACGUGCCAGCAGCCGCGGUAAUACGUAGGUGGCAAGCGUUAUCCGGAAUUAUUGGGCGUAAAGCGCGCGUAGGCGGUUUCUUAAGUCUGAUGUGAAAGCCCACGGCUCAACCGUGGAGGGUCAUUGGAAACUGGGAAACUUGAGUGCAGAAGAGGAAAGUGGAAUUCCAUGUGUAGCGGUGAAAUGCGCAGAGAUAUGGAGGAACACCAGUGGCGAAGGCGACUUUCUGGUCUGUAACUGACGCUGAUGUGCGAAAGCGUGGGGAUAAAAC
rnacentral:rRNA from 1 species